CUGCUAUUUAUGCCACACACUCAAGACACCAAUUGUCAAGAAUUUCCCUGCAAACUGUCAUAUGUUAGUGAAUGUGUUUGGAGGAAGCAGCGGCAGCGGAGGGCGAGCAGCGCGGAGGGAGAGACGCCACUUUUCAGCUGCUGAGCAAAUUGUCUUCUGGGCAUGAGGGGGACAUGAAGGAGGAAUCUGAGCAGAGCUGCUGCAAUUUAAGGCAGAAAGAAAGACCCAGGACAACCGGGACAUCCGUUUAUUUGGUAGCAAUACCCCCCCAGCACCCUCUGCUUCUCCCGUCCAGCUGCCUCCCUCCCGGCGUCUGGGAGCCCCUCCACCAGGACAUGUGUUCCUGACUGGAAGAAAGGAGGGGCUCAGUUUAGAGACACAAUGUCACCACAACAAUGUGUGAGGGGCACGGCUAGAGGAAGCAGAGCACUUUGGAAUAAAGGCGAAAUACUGAAUCAAGCAGGUGCAGAACACGGACUGACUGACUGAACCAGGUGGGAUUCCUCCACAAAGGCCUUUACUGCGAAUCAAAACUAAAAUACAAAUAAAACCAGGACAAAAAAAAAACCUGUCUUCUCUCAGAUGAAAAUUCUGCAGUGAGACAGAAAGCAUCACAGAGGCGCUGGGAAGCAGUUCCCCUAGUUUAGAUUAAUGGUACUUCGCGCUUAUUCUGCAGUCGGGGUGAAAGGGCUGGGAUCACUAAUGAUUAUAAUAUAAUGUGUGGCGAUAACCACUCCCUUUGAGAUAUUAUCGCCCGCUGGCCAAUGCUCAGGGGACGAGCUGCAUGGCUGCAGAGCGGCAGAUAGCUGCUGCUGCUGCUUCAGCCACCGCAGCGGAUUUCUGCGCUCCGGAAAAAAACAGAAAGAAAAAAGAAAGAAAAAGCCCGCAAGCAUGGAGAGGGAGAGCUGGCCGCUGCUGAUACCUGCAUUAAAAUAUACAGCAGAGCAAAGCGGCCCAUUAUUGCUGUUUUUUUUUCUUUUCUUAUUUUAAACGAUGAGAUGAUGUAGAUUUUUAUGACAAUAUCAGCGCAUGUUUAUUCACGAGCGCAUUGCCUCUAUUUUUCACCCAACAGCUGUAAAUCAGACAAAAAAAUCCUUUCUACCAGUUUAUAACAGCAAGCAUUUUAAGUGAUUUAAUUACUACUAGGAAGAAGCAUUUAGAGCCUCCUAAACGGCUUUUUACUGCAGGGAAACCUGCUAGAGAUGAUCUUAAAGCUCCUUUGGUUCCACCAGCAAAGCCACUUCCCUUUUUGUCUCCAAAUUUCAAAAGUAGAAAAAUGUGAAUUAAUGUUGAAUUUUAAAAUUCCGCUUUGUCGUGAAUUAUUUUCUGAUCAUCGAUUUUUAUUUAUUUAUUUAUUUAUUUAUUUGCUGUUAUGGAGACAAACCAUAAAUGAUUUACAUUCUUUGAUGGGUGUUUUUUUUUCUUUUUCCAAAGCCCCUUGUCGGCAAAAACUGAAAAAGCCUUCUUCUUGUAGUCUUGCAGUAAAACUUUUCUUUUGCACAGAUGUAUCCGUUGUGGAUGAGCUCCAAGUGAAAACCGCUUUCCACAUAUCAUAUAAUAUCGAAGUAUCUCCACAGGGAAACCUGCAGGCCUCUACAAUUAUAUAAGACAGCCAGCAAAACCGUCUUUUGCAUCCAACAUGCUACACACACUGAAUGUCGUGGAGCCACACAUGUCAAUAUUCACCUACAGCUUUUCCCCGGCCAUGGUAAAGAAACAAAAACUCACGCCGAAUCAAACAAGAAUCAAGAAGCUUCUGAUUGUUCUUUAAUGUGGACGCGCACAAAAGCCGAUUAGGCUGGAAAUCCCUGCAUAAUUAUCGACGUUCAGUGAUCAAUAACAAACAGCUCAGUCCUCAACAACGUCUGAGUAAAAAAGGGGCUGUGGGAGAAAGAAGGACAGGAGGAGGAGGAGGAGGAAGAAGUGGAGUGAGUGAUGCUGCUGUGUUGGACGCACCGCCAACAAUCCCGCGCUAUCUGUCUUCAUUGGAGCUUUUGUGUGCGCAAAAAGCAAAGGCGCGCAUAAGGUAAAGCCCGCAUCAAAGCCGCGGCUUUAUUUUUAUAUCCAAUAGAUCAGCAGGCAGACAAAGCUUUAUUUUCGCCAGGAGAGAGAUAUUUUACCUCUGCCUUACGGUUUUAUGUUGGAGAGGUGUCAGCCGCUGGAAAUGGAUGGCUAAUGCAUAGGCAAAGCGCUGCUCGCCUCGGCAUGCUGCACGUCAGAGGGGGGCUGCAGGGAAGAGCAGCGUGGAUUUAAGGCCCCUGGGGGCCCAGCACGAGGGACUGAGCACAAGGGGCGUCAGAGAUAUCAGGCUUCCGCUCAUGCUGUAGCUCCUAAUACAGUAGAACACAGAUGAAAGAUGAAUUCUGGACGUUUGUUAAAAGUCCAUGGUCAGUCUCAGCCUUGAUGGAGCCCUGAACCCUGGCCCUCCAGUUCUUUAAAUAACUAACAAAUAAACAACAGGAGACAUUUAGCAACAAAUGAAGCAAUAAAAAAUAAAAACACACUUCACACACAGUUAGUGAGCAAACAAAAUCAGUCUGGUUUCAUAAAUGAAUCUUGGUUUCAUUUUUAGGCAUUCAAGUUUUCAGGAAAUGCCUGUUGACAUUAUUGGUUGGAAGCCUCUUAAAGAGCUAAUAAGUGGACACAUGGAGCUCAAACCAGAGCGCAGCACAGAGGGACACACAUCUCACCUUUCUUUCACAACACAGAGCUGGACUAAUUUAUGACAGCAAAAGAGUAACCCUUAUUUACCCAGUCACCCUGACACCUCCUACAGCUCAUCCUGUCAGCUCUGAUUUGAUGCAUGAGGAAUGUGAAGUGCUGCAUAGUAAGGGCCAUAGCCUCCCAUUAAAACCAAGGGCCGGUGCCAUUCUUUAUGGGGCCUGAAGCAGAACUUUUAAAAGUCUUCAGAUGGAUUUUGAAUAAUACAUGGAAGAGGCUUUUACUAUUAGCAAAAAAAAACAAAAAAAAACAAAAACAGGAUACACAUGCAAUUUCAAAUAUUUGUAUCAUGUAAAUUGUUAAUAAUUCUGCAUGUGUGUGAGCAACUUUGGUUAGUGAACAAUGUGUGUCAUGUGUAAACAGACAGUAGACAUCCACUCACCCAUGACCUAAAGAGAAAACAGACAGGAAAUGUGUAGAAUACAAAUGUGUAGAACAUCAAUAAAACAUCAUGAGUUACUGAAUAAAUAGAAGCUUUUUCUGAA